AGAGUUUGAUCAUGGCUCAGGAUGAACGCUGGCGGCGUGCCUAACACAUGCAAGUCGAACGAAGCACAUUGGAUUGAUUCUUCGGAAGAAAGAGAAUGUGACUGAGUGGCGGACGGCUGAGUAACGCGUGGGAACGGACCCCAAACUGAGGGAUAACUAUUCGAAAGAGUAGCUAAUACCGCAUGUGAUCUUCGGAUUAAAGGAUUUAUCCGGUUUGGGACUGGCCUGCGUACGAUUAGAUAGUUGGUGAGGUAACGGCUCACCAAGUCGACGAUCGUUAGAUGGUUUGAGAGGAUGAUCAUCCAGACUGGGACUGAGACACGGCCCAGACUCCUACGGGAGGCAGCAGUAGGGAAUCUUUCACAAUGGGCGAAAGCCUGAUGGAGCAACGCCGCGUGCAGGAUGAAGGCCUUCGGGUUGUAAACUGCUUUUAUAAGCGAGAAAUAUGAUGGUAACUUAUGAAUAAGGAUCGGCUAACUACGUGCCAGCAGCCGCGGUCAUACGUAGGAUCCGAGCAUUAUCCGGAGUGACUGGGCGUAAAGAGUUGCGUAGGUGGAUGUUUAAGUAGGUAGUGAAAUCUGGUGGCUCAACCAUUCAGACUAUUACCUAAACUGGACGUCUCGAGAGCGUCAUGGGUAACUGGAAUUUCUAGUGUAGGAGUGAAAUCCGUAGAUAUUAGAAGGAACACCGAUAGCGUANGCAGGUUACUGGGGCGUUUCUGACACUAANGCACGAAAGCGUAGGAGCAAACGGGAUUAGAUACCCUGGUAGUCC
rnacentral:rRNA from 1 species